rnacentral:rRNA from 1 species
AGGACGAACGCUGGCGGCGCGCCUAACACAUGCAAGUCGAGCGAUAACCAGGGCUUGCCCUGGGGACAGCGGCGAACGGGUGCGUAACACGUGAGCAACCUGCCCCAAAGACCGGGACAACCCGAGGAAACUCGGACUAAUACCGGAUGCCCUCACCGGGUCGCAUGGUCUGGUGAGGAAAUGGAUUCCGCUUUGGGAUGGGCUCGCGGUCUAUCAGCUUGUUGGUGGGGUAACGGCCUACCAAGGCGACGACGGAUAGCUGGUCUGAGAGGACGAUCAGCCACACUGGGACUGAGACACGGCCCAGACUCCUACGGGAGGCAGCAGUGGGGAAUCUUGCGCAAUGGGGGAAACCCUGACGCAGCGACGCCGCGUGCGGGAUGAAGGCCUUCGGGUUGUAAACCGCUUUCAGCAGGGACGAAAUUGACGGUACCUGCAGAAGAAGGCCGGCAACUACGUGCCAGCAGCCGC